GACGAACGCUGGCGGCGUGCUUAACACAUGCAAGUCGAGCGGGGUCCGAUCCAGUAGCAAUACUGGUGAAGACCUAGCGGCGAACGGGUGAGUAACACGUGAGCAACCUGCCCCGAAGUCUGGGAUAACACCGGGAAACCGGUGCUAAUACCGGAUGUCCUCACCGAGUCACCUGGCUUGAUGAGGAAAGAUUUAUCGCUUCGGGAGGGCUCGCGGCCUAUCAGCUUGUUGGCGGGUAACGGCCCACCAAGGCUUCGACGGGUAGCUGGUCUGAGAGGACGACCAGCCACACUGGGACUGAGACACGGCCCAGACUCCUACGGGAGGCA
rnacentral:rRNA from 1 species